rnacentral:rRNA from 1 species
GAUGAACGCUGGCGGCGUGCCUAAUACAUGCCAGUCGAGCGAACAGACGAGGAGCUUGCUCCUCUGACGUUAGCGGCGGACGGGUGAGUAACACGUGGAUAACCUACCUAUAAGACUGGGAUAACUUCGGGAAACCGGAGCUAAUACCGGAUAAUAUAUUGAACCGCAUGGUUCAAUAGUGAAAGACGGUUUUGCUGUCACUUAUAGAUGGAUCCGCGCCGCAUUAGCUAGUUGGUAAGGUAACGGCUUACCAAGGCGACGAUGCGUAGCCGACCUGAGAGGGUGAUCGGUCACACUGGAACUGAGACACGGUCCAGACUCCUACGGGAGGCAGCAGUAGGGAAUCUUCCGCAAUGGGCGAAAGCCUGACGGAGCAACGCCGCGUGAGUGAAGAAGGUCUUCGGAUCGUAAAGCUCUGUUAGUAGGGAGGAACAAAUGUGUAAGUAACUAUGCACGUCUUGACGGUACCUAAACAGAAAGCCACGGCUAACUACGUG